UUUUGAGGGAGCAGCUCGGAUGGUGGCGUAACCUCGCAGGCCCUGGGCAGGGGCUCCGGGGAAUUCCUGGCCAAAAGACAAGGUUUCACUCUUGUUGCCCAGGCUGGAGUGCAAUGGUGUGAUCUAGGCUCACUGCAACCUCCACCUCCCGGGUUCAAGUGAUUCUCCUGUCUCAGGCUCCCAAGUAGGUGGGAUUACAGUACUUUAAUCAGCAUUUAAUGACCCAGUCGAAAAUUCAUUGUUUGGACCCAAGCACUGGUGGGAAAGGCAGGAGGGGAGGCCUGCCUUCCUUCCUCCCUCCCGAGCCCUACAGCAGGCCAUGGAGUGGUGAGCGAGUUCGUACAGUGCCAACCACAUUCCCAGAAACUUCCAGCAGAGGUUAAUCCUGCUCCUCUCAGGUGGGCUUGGCCCAUUCUCUAGACUUUGGAAGGUAAUGUUCUAUAGAGGCCUGUUCUGAAGCUUUACCAGGUCAAACCGGAGAAGAACCCAACAAGUAACUCAUCCCAGCCUAACUAUUCUUCAAGGGCAAUCAACCUACAGCAUCCAAGCACAGAGAAAUCAAAUCCAUGGAGAAUCUUCAAAUUAGGCUCAGAAUCCAUUUGGGUCAAUGAAUUUACUGUUAUUAAGAUCUUAGUUGUGUUCAACCAUGAUUUGACAUACCUUAGAGUGAGAAGAUAUUCUUCCUGGCCUCAGACUAGUUGAAGGUAGAGAGAGAGACAGGCCCUUGGGUGUGGGGAGACCUCUCCUGGGAUAAUACACACAAAAAACCAAGAGCUGCUCACUGUGGUGCAGGAGACAGCAGGGCCUGAAGCCAGAGGCUCUGUGUCCUUGAAUACAAUGUUUUACUCCUCUGACCCCUGUUACUGUGAUUUGGAGAGGCAGACAAUAUAGGAUGGGCUUUGCAGGCAGGGAGGUCCAGUUAUAAUCCCAGCUCUUACUAAGUUGGGUAAGACUCACUCUGAGACUUAGUUUCUUCUGUCAUCUCUCAAUAGAAUCAUAAAGGUACUUUCCUCUUAGUGUUGUUUUAAAAUUCAGUAAAAUAAUGCAGGCUUAGCACAGGGUCUGAUGUAAAUUUUCAAUGAAUUAUCGUUGUCAAUAUUGUUCUGGAAAACAAGAGGGCAUAUUAGAAGAUCAAAAGUACUGCCAAGCAUUGAAGUGCCAAUUCUAGAUCCAGUCUCAGCCCUCUGAGAAUGGAUAUCAUUGUUUUCAAGCCAUUCAGAAACCAAUGUGAAUUGAACACCUAGUAUGAGCUCUCUGAGGGAAGAGCCAAGUCAUGCAUUUUUUAUCUUAAGGGGUCUUCAAUACCUCUAGCCCAAAACAGUAUCUCCAUCAGGAUUCUUCUCUGAUAGUGUUCAUUUCUUUUUUCUCAAUGGAUGCCUUAAAAAAAAAAUCCUACAAGGAAACCUGUACUCCUCAAAUACACCACUCAGGUGACCAUUAAAUCAUUUACAUUGUUAAUUUCUUUUCAGAUGUGUGUCUUUUUCCCUAGUUACAUCAUCAGGACCUUGAAGGUAGGGACAGGUCUUAGAUUUCUUGAUGCCCCCAUAAAUCUAGGUACAGAGUAGGUCUCUGGACAUCAG
rnacentral:lncRNA from 1 species